rnacentral:lncRNA from 1 species
UUUUAUUUUAUUUUUCUUAUCUUUUUUUUUGAUACCAGGAAUCAGACUCAGGGCCUUAUGCUUGCCAGGCAGGCACUUGUGCCUCUGAGCUAUAUCCCCAGCUCAGAUUUCAAAGAACAUUGGCUGAAGAUUCCAAACUUAACUUUCUCAUUCUUAUUCAUGCAGAAAAGCAAUGCUUUGUAUUGGGAGAUUCUGAGACUGCUGAGUGGUACGUAUUAUACCUCCUUUGGACAGAAAGGAUUUUUUAAAAAUCACAAACACAUUUCCACUAUUAAAAAUAUAAAAGAAACCAGAUUUAUUGUCUGGAUUUUAUUCAGGGAAAUGUGAAAACAACAGUUUUACAGUGUGCUGGUUCAUGGGGUAAAUAGCACAUUCCUGAGCGUUAUUACUAGCUGGCCACAGUAGGGGUCUUCAGAGGGCAGCAGAAUCAUUUCACAGGCUGCCCGGGGGGGGGGGGCAAUUAAGAUGUGGGAGCCUUGGAAAAUAGGAUCUAAAGAGUCUGAAGCCCUAUUUUUUUAUGUGUAGGAAACAUGAUGGGAAAGAAAGGUAGGAGAAUUGCAGAAAGAUGGAGGGAUAGCUCACCCCUUGUAUUUUAAUUGCAACCGGACAAUAAAUGUUGGGCAAAAAACUGGAAAAAGCCAGCUCAAGAAAGCAUGUUCCUCUUUACUCA